UGAAAAAGAAGUUGAAUAAAGGUGGCAUGUUAGUGGUGUAUAUGAUAUUGCAUGGUGUUGAGAAAGUGGACAAAGGGUUUCCCCCACAUCCCCCCUCUCAAAAUAGUAGAACCUAAUGGGGCCAUGCAAUUGAAGAUUCAGGAGAGAUAAAAAGGAGAAUUGUACCACGCGGUGCACAGUCAGAAUAUGGGAUUUUUUUCCAUAAAGUGUGACAAUGGCCACCAAUUUAGAUUGGAUUAGACACAUUCUGCAACGGCUACUUGUUAGGGUGGCUGGAUUUUAUCUCCAGGAUCAGAGAUAUCAGGCUUCUGAAUCCCACUUCCUUAGGAACCACAGUAUGAGAGGGCUUGUCUCUUCCUUGUGGGCUUCCCAUAGACACCUGGUAAGCCAUCGUGGGCAACUGGAUGUUGGACUAGGAAGCAGGGCUCUUCCUAUGUUCCUUUGUUAUGAGGAGCAGAAUAAAAUGCUCUAACCGGGCAAGAUUUUUAAAAGCCUGCCAGUGAGAACCUAUCAACAGGGCUGGAUGUUUGUGUUGCAAUUUUGGUGCAUGACAUUUCCUAAAGAAAUGUGCCUCCUCUUAAGUAGGAACGGAAGUGACCUAAGUGCUCCCUCCAAAGUGCUAUUUUGUUUGAACAUUCUCUCUAGCCCUUUCCCAACAUCCUAGAAGGCAAUGCUUUUAAAAGUCUCAUCAGGUGUGAGGAAGGGAAAGGAGAGAGAAUGCACAAUUAGCUUGUUCUUCCUGUUCCCCAUUGUUCUCCAAAAUAGAUCUUGCACCAGGAAGCAAAGAUUCAGGCUGGCACCAUACCUGGGAUGGUGGACUUACAGGUUGACUGUAAUUCAUGCAUCCCCCAGAAAUGUGGUGGAACAGAGAGUGAGACAGACAAGAUGGCAGAGAGUGAGAGAACUACAUAGUCCUGCAGACUUCACUCACUUUGGUCCAUGGCUCUGCCUAGUUGACUUUCUAUAACCCAGCAGCCCUUCAUAGGAAAAGGUUCUCCAUUUCUACCUUACACCUUGUCCAUAGGGAGAUGCACAAGAUCAAAUAUGGAGAGAAGUGUUAAAAAGGAAACUUGAGUUGCUGGAAUGGAAGCCAUUGUACUUUCACCCAACCGGUGAACUAUAGUCUACCUAUGGAGUGCAAAUGGAAAAGGGAAUUCCCACCCCUAGGUGCCUUCUCUAACUUGCUUAGAAUCAUUUCUCCCAAAAUACUGUAGGUAACCUCACCCUCUGGAGAUUUCUGAUGAAAGUUACUGCUUUGAAUGAGUUUCUCCAACCAAUUUUCUUGGGCUAGGCAGGGUUUGCAGGAACAUGGAGUUCAGGUCUCUUGAAAAGAUGUAGUUAGUUGAUCAAAACAUUAUGGUGCUUGAAGCAAUCCCCCAUUUUGCCCCAGUGUACUAAGAGAAACUACCUAAAGGAAAGAAGUUGCAUGUAAGUGGACUGCUGUGUAUAACAGACAAGGUAACAUCAUUCAGCAAAGCACCACAACUUAUUACUCAAAGGAGACAAAGGGAUAUUUUUCUUUUAUUCACAAAAAGCUUUUACCAGCACAAGUACAACAGAAUGGCAGCUUCUUAUUGUAUUGGAGUGGCGUAGAUUCUGAGUGUGCACAUUAAAAACACAUAACUUGGUAGGAGGGCAAAUUUAAGUAUCUAAACAACUUCCAGAUUUUUUUAAAAUAGCUAGUUGCUAAAUGUCAUGUGCCUGCAAAGGCUUGUAGGUAUGUUGAUGAUUUAGGGUCAGCGCGAGAUUCUGAGAAGUUCAGUCUUCUGUGCCUUGGUAUCUGGUGCUGUUUCUCAAUGAGCAACAACCAAAUAAACAGUGCAAAACAU